rnacentral:rRNA from 1 species
UCAGGAUGAACGCUAGCGACAGGCCAACACAUGCAAGUCAGGGGCAGCACAAGGAGCAAUCUGAGGUGGCGACCGGCGCACGGGUGAGUAACACGUAUGCAACCUGCCUGUAAGCGGGGAAUAACCCGUUGAAAGACGGACUAAUACCGCAUAAUACUAAAUUACUGCAUGGUAAUUUAUUUAAACAUUUAUGGCUUACAGAUGGGCAUGCGCAUGAUUAGCUAGUUGGAGAGGUAACGGCUCCCCAAGGCAACGAUCAUUAGGGGUUCUGAGAGGAAGGUCCCCCCACACUGGUACUGAGACACGGACCAGACUCCUACGGGAGGCAGCAGUGAGGAAUAUUGGUCAAUGGACGAGAGUCUGAACCAGCCAAGUCGCGUGCAGGAAGAAUUGUCCUAUGGAUUGUAAACUGCUUUUGCAGGGGAAUAAAGUGCAUCACGUGUGAUGUUUUGUAUGUACUCUGCGAAUAAGGAUCGGCUAACUCCGUGCCAGCCGCCGC